rnacentral:tRNA from 1 species
GCCCGGGUAGUCCAACUGGCAGAGACGCCUGUCUUAGAAGCAGGAGGUUGGUGGUUCGAAUCCACUCGCGGGCA